rnacentral:tRNA from 1 species
CGGGAUGUAGCGCAGCUUGGUAGCGCACCUCGUUCGGGACGAGGGGGUCGAGUGUUCAAAUCACUUCAUCCCGA